rnacentral:lncRNA from 1 species
GUACUGGGGCCAGUUAUUUCAGUAUCUUCAUUGAUGAUCUGGAUGAGGGGAUCGAGUGCACACUCAGUAAGUUCACUGAUGAGGACUCACACUGUUAGGUGUGAGACUCGAUCUGCUUCAGGGUAGGAAGGCCCUGCAGAGGGAUCUGAAUAGGCUGGAGGCCAAGGCCAACUGUAUGAAGUUCAGCAAGGCUAAGUGCUAGGUCCUGCACUUGGGGUACAACAACCCCAUGCAGCGCUACGGGAUGGGAGAAGAGUGGCUGGAAAGCUGCCCAGUGGAAAAGGACCUGGGGGUAUUGGUCUAUAGUUGGUGAAUAUGAGUCAGCAGCGUGCCCAGGUGGCCAAGAAGGCCAACAGCAUCCUGGCUUGUGUCAGAAAUCGUAUGGCCAGCAGGGCCAGGGAGGCGAUCAUCCCCCUGUACUUGGCUCUGGAGAGGCCGCAACUCAAGUACUGUGUUCAGUUUUGGGCCCCUCACUACAAGAAGAACAUCGAGGCCCUGGAGUGUGUCCAGAGAAGGGCUAAAAAGCUGAUUCCUUUGACUGGCAGCUGAAAUCGAGAACUCCUUUCUGACAUCAGAAUGUGUCUAACAAGCAAGGCUCAUUAAAACCCAGCAGGCAGAUCCCUAUCUUAAAGACUAACACAAAGUCUAGUUACAGUAGCCCUUCUUCACUAUUCCCAUUCCUAAAUUUUAUAAGGUUGUGGAAGUAGUUUGUGGGUAGAUUAAAUCCUGUUUUUCCUUUGGUACAGCCAGGUGCUUCAUUUUGCACAGGACUGGCUCCUGCCAGCACAGAGCCAUGCACCUGAUCCCAUCACCAGCAGAGCUGCUGCCUCCUACUGCCCCAUCAGCCAUAGGGUUAGUGGCUUGGAGUGGAAACCUGCCCCAGCACAUCAUGGGCAUGGGCACUGAUGGUCCCCUGACUUUGGAAGGAGUCAGCUGUCCCUGCUGGAUUGCAGUCCCAUGGUCCUAUUUAUCUGGACAAUCAUACACUUGAAGGCAUCCUUCUGGUAUCUCAGGUCACGACGGUUUUAUUCUAUGCCUUUCCUUUCUCAUCUGGCAACUACAGCAAAACACUGUUUGUUUGUUUGUUUGUUUGUUUUCUCUGGAGAAUGCAGCAAUUAUAUUUCACAACUACAGCAGUUGCCAGGAAUGCCA